UGACAUAGUUAAUUCACCAACGGAAUUUGUUGCCAUAGCUCCAGCGAGGGAAGGGGUAGAUUAAACAAUAGCCUUUUUCACGGCUGCAGCUUUCGCCACAACCUGCCUGUUGCCGCAAAACAGGCCAUCAUAGCGCUAGUUCAGAGCACAGCAAUUGUCAAUGAACCACAGCCCAGAGGGGACAAGAGGAGGCUUGUGGUAAAUAAAGCAAGCGUGCCCAGCAACUCAGAUCUCUCCUUAUUCAAUAACUGGGACAUUCCGAGCUCCUCUGAGCUUAUCUUUAAGUGCUGGGCACAGAGAGCCUGCUUGACCUUUUUGGUCAAGUGAGGAACAAAAAUUUCAUCCUGUGACUCAAAAGAACUCAAAAGGGAGGAGGCCUCUGGAGAAAAGAUCAGGAGCAGGCAUGGUAGGCCAUCAGGAGUGCACCAUGGAAGAAGACUCCAGGGACAAUCGCGCUCUGCAACUGUGGCGCAAGUUUCAUGUCUGGACUCAAACCCCAUAAAGAAGGGACCAAAAUCUACACGGCACUCUUGAGUAUGAUGGCGGCUGUAUUUGGAGUUUUGAUUAAACUGCGCUACAUGUGUGAUUAUUACUUGUAAACAGAUGAUUAGAUAUUAAUUAGACAAUAAGUGAUUGUAAAGCACUUAGAAAAUAAAAGUGUUUAUAAAUACCA